rnacentral:ncRNA from 1 species
UUCCACUAGGGGAGCCUUUAAGAAAGGUAAAUGAUACAGAGUCGUUUUCUUGAAUCAUUUACAAAAGGCUGAGAUUGAGGAUUGAUUUUUCAUAACCUCGAGACCCUUAGAACCUGAUCUGGUUUGUACCAGCGUAGGGAAGUGGGGAAAUAG